GUGGGGAAUAUUGGACAAUGGGGGGAACCCUGAUCCAGCCAUGCCGCGUGUGUGAAGAAGGCCUUUUGGUUGUAAAGCACUUUAAGCGAGGAGGAGGCUACCGAGAUUAAUACUCUUGGAUAGUGGACGUUACUCGCAGAAUAAGCACCGGCUAACUCUGUGCCAGCAGCCGCGGUAAUACAGAGGGUGCGAGCGUUAAUCGGAUUUACUGGGCGUAAAGCGUGCGUAGGCGGCUUUUUAAGUCGGAUGUGAAAUCCCCGAGCUUAACUUGGGAAUUGCAUUCGAUACUGGGAAGCUAGAGUAUGGGAGAGGAUGGUAGAAUUCCAGGUGUAGCGGUGAAAUGCGUAGAGAUCUGGAGGAAUACCGAUGGCGAAGGCAGCCAUCUGGCCUAAUACUGACGCUGAGGUACGAAAGCAUGGGGAGCAAACAGGAUUAGAUACCCUUGUAGUCC
rnacentral:rRNA from 1 species